CGAGGAAAAAUCCUGGGAUCAUGGGAUUCAUGUGGGAGUGAUCAGAGUGGACGGGACGGACGAGAUGGUGAUCAGGCCAGACACAGGGGCGCCUUUGUCGAUAGUGCGCACUAGGGAGGUCGCUGAUGUUCUACAUAUAAUCGUGACUGUUGUAUUGUAUCGAACAACUGGGGAGGGGGGCGCCGUGUAGUUAAUAAAACCAGAUUCCUUGGUAGUUGCAAUCGGUGCUGGCUUGGGCGAGGGGCUGGGGAGGGUGGAAAGACUUUCCGAGAAGAGGAGUGUGCAGCCAGAAUAGCCUGACGCUGACGUCAGCUAGUCAGGGGCUCAGAUUGACUUGUAGACUCAGCCUGGUCCCUCGUACUGCUAAAACGCUGCCACAUAUUAUAUCAUUUUAUAAACCAAUAUGUGCAAGUGGUACGUAGCAGGGGCAUUUAAUCUUGGACAGGGGAAUAGGCAUAGACACAGUAGGAAGGCACUAGUCUACCUGAAUUGCCUCUGAAAAUGCAUCUUCCUUCGUUGAUUUCGUCUAUCCAACGCAAGUCUAUGCAAUUUACAGCUGGAUGUGAUUCGAUGGACAAGGAACAUUGAAUGACACCAGUUUACCACCACGGAAAUCUUCAAUAACACAAAUAAUAAUAAUAAUAAUUUGAAUAAUUUCUUUGCGUGUAACAGGUUACAGUGUGUUCGCAGAUAGGCUACUGGAGUUCAGCACCAUGGUAGCGUUACCCAGGCACAUGUGCAGGGAACCGCUAUAUGUAAUAGGCACAAAUUAAACUGCUUCUCGUCAGUGAAGCUUGCUUGUAUUAAUUAUCGUCUCAAUAUCACACUGGCUGUUUUUAGGCUGUUUACCCGUUUCGGAUAAAGUAGGAUUAUCAUGUUUCUAAACGUUUUAUGAAAGUAUUUCAAUAUUUUGUAAAAACGAAUAGAUAUUUGUUUAUAAUUAAAGCAUUUCAUUAUAUAUAGGUUUCCGUUAAUUGAUUAAACAGUAACUUGUAGUGAAAGCUCUGUUACGCUGUUUUUUAUGUAGCAUAUCUUCUAUAUGGUACUCUAUUUAAAUCCAAAUUAUUUAUUAACUUGGUCAUAAAUUAAAUAUACUCUUUGCGUCUCUGACAAAAUCGUGGGCUAUACGUAGCCUAUAUAGCUAAAACCCAAAAUCCCUUCCAAUAUCCGAAUACAAAGAAAACUUCAAUUUGCAUGUUUUAUCUAUCAGUUUGAAAUUUAGGCUAUGUCAGCCCAUUCAAUAUCUUGACAAAGCCAAACAGGAUUAAGUAUUCACAUAAAUAUCGGGAAACGGAUUCUUGAUGAUAUGUUAUUCUGUUCUUUACCCUGGUUGUCGGUCUUUUAUAUUGCGAAGCCUCGCUUUGUACGUGGACUUCAAUAAGGUGUAUAUCGCCACCUAUCGUCACCUUGACGUUAAUUAAAAUAUAGCACCCUUCAAAGGGAGAGCCGCAAGAGAGACUGGUUUUGGGACCGCUGACUAACGUGUAAUGCCACGUUGGUAGACCUAUAUAUUUUUUGACUUUUCAAAUCAAGUGCAGAAUAAUCGACUGCCGUACAAUUAUGAUUAGACCUACGAUCAAAAUGGAAUUUCUCGGGUGAUGUUUUUCGCGAGGGUGGAAUGGUGGUUAGCACUGUUGCAUCCCACCUCUGGGACCUGGGUUUGAGUCUUUGCCAGAAUUUCAUGUGUGUGGAGUUCUCGCCGUGUCGCCCCCUCCUGGUACUCUGGUUUCCCAUUACAGUCCAAAAGCAUGCUGAGGCUGAUUGGAGUUAGCAAAUUGCCCUUAGGUGUGUGAGUGUGCCCUGCAAUGGGUUGGCGCACCCUAUCCUCUGUCGUUCCCUACCUUGUGCCCUAGGCUCUGGACCCCCAUGACCCUGAACAGGUUUAAGAAAGUUGUUUAAGAAAAUGGAUGGAUGGAUUUUCUCAUGAGGGAUCUCUAUAGCCUAGAGGCAAUUUUUGUUUCUAGGCAAAAUCAAUUAUAUUCCAAAGUGUAAUACAAGUUUAGUCAAGUAUGAAACAUAUUGUUAUCAUUAGUCUUCUAUAAAUAUUUGAAAUUCAUCUGAUUGCAUUAGGGCAGGCAUGGCAGGUCAGUCCUGUAAGCAACAUAAGCUGUCAACUUCUGAGGUGGCACUGAUUUUCCAGCCAAUGUCACAGCGGGUGCUGGCAGUGAUGCUCGCCUACAAUGGCUAGGGCAAGUACUGAGGGCAGCGUAGAGGGGCAUGCACUGUGGCCUCAUACUUGUAAAAUCUGCAUGUUCCCCCAUUUUCAGGAGGGAUUCUUCCAGAUGCUGGGCCUUCCUGCCAGCGCAUGCUGUUUAGGUGACCUGGUGUAUCUAAAUGGACUGCAUUUAUAUAGCACUUUUCUACUCCUACGAGUACUCAAAGCGCUUUACAAUUUAUGCCUCACAUUCACCCAUCCAUACACACAUUCAUACACCGGUGUAUGUAAUCCAAGCAACCCAAGUCCAAAGUGGUGGGCUUUAACAACCUCACAUUUAAUUUGUGCAAUAUUUAGGAAAAGGAGGCUGUUUUUAUUUUAAUCAUGGCUAUUUGCAUAUGCAUUAAUGCAAGGAUAGUCACAAUGCAUUAAAACUUUUGUAUCUAUGCAAGAAAUAUGCAAGCCCACGGAAGUGCUAACAUAAAAAGGCAAGAAACGUAGCCUAGAUUUACACUUUAUCCUUUAAUUUAUUUAAUAUGUGUUCUUUAGUACGUAUUGCUAGUAUAUUUUUGGUUUGUGUGUGGUCUUUUUGCUAUAAGAUGUCUUAAAUGGAAUCAGAUUUAUGCAGCUGGCUAAGUUACUGUCCCAGUGAUCAGAUGAUCUGAGCCCCAGCCUCGGCGAGACAGUCUCAUGUCUGUGAAUCCUUUAUCAAGGGCCGCUGCAUGCUGGCUGACCCCCAAACAAUGGAGAGUGAGAUGCAGUAGGCAGGGAGAAGCAAAUGGCAAAUAAAAGAUUUGUCAUCAUUACUAUCAAUAUUUGACUUACAUAAGCAUUUGCGGAAUGGAGUACUUGCAACAGUUGUGAACUGGGCACAAAGCAGCGGUAAGGAGCAUGCACUGGUUACAGUGCAUUGCUGUUCCCACCACACGACAAACCACCUCAGGGAUGAGAACCUGAGUGCUGCCAUGCACCAACUAGUCCAAAUUGACCAGUGUGAGUUUUUUUUCCAGUGGCUGGAGUGCCAAUCCUACAACCAACCCCCAAGGUUUUUCCUGUAAGUUGGAGAACCUCCUUAUAGUGCUGGAUGUAGAAUAACAUCAUACCCAGGAUGAAGCAAUUGCAGUUAAGGGCCUUGCUCAAGGGCCUAAUGGAGUAGAAUCACUCUGGGCAUUCACAGGAUUUGAACCAGCAAUCUUCCAGUUACUGAAACAGAUCCCUAGCUUCAGAGCCACCACUCAACCCUGUACUUCUACAGAUGUCUAAAAAUGUCCUAGCUAGAUGUCCAACUAUUGCACUGCACAUCAACAUCCAAGAAGGGUCGCAGUCAGAUGUCCAAGUUCUGAACCUAAUUUGUACAUCAUGCAGACAUACAGAUAUGAUCUUGGACUGACCGACUCAACAGGAAGCCCAUCGCUUUUCCACAGCAAGCUGACUCAGCUAGCUGUACCUGUAGGGACCUGUCAGUGGAUUAUCAGCUUCCUGACAAUCAGGACAGUCAGUCCUGACAGUGAAGAAGCAGCAUGUAAGGCUGGGCACUGAACAAUCUAACCCUAAUGCCAUCAACACAGGAUCCCAGUAUGUGUGAACUUACCAGAAUUAUUUGUGGUCUGUUGUCAAAAUUCUCACCCCUCCUGUUUUCACUGUACCCAAAUGACUACAGUACCUCUGCAGACAAGUCCAUCAAAAUCUUAAUGUUUGCAGAUUACACAAUGGACUCAUUUCCAAAUAUGAUGAGAUCUAUUACAGAGAAGUGUGUUUUCUUGCCACAUGGUGCAUCAGCAGCAACUUCGAACUAAUUGUGGUCAAGGCAGUGGAAAUGAAAGUUGUCAUCUGCCAUGGACCACCUACCGACCUUUCCUUGGAAAUUGGCAGCCAGGCCAUUCUGUGGUCGAGUAUUUCAAAUUCCUGUGGAACACAAUCACCAAAACAUUGAAGUGUGAUGUGCAAAUCACCUCCAUCACCAAAAAAAGGCAGAAAAGGCUGUUGGUCCUAUGCCAACUCAAAAAGCUCGAUGUCUCCCAAUGCACCCCACUGAUGCAUCGCCAUUACGGAGAUCAUCUUGACAUCCUCCAUCACCAUCUGGUUUCCUGCUGCCUCCACCCUCUCCAAGAUCAGGUUACAACAAGUGGUCUGGUCAACUGAGAAAAUCACAUUACAGUAUAAGACCUGUUCACAGCCAGGGCGUAGGAGAGAGCUGGGAAGAUGGCUCCUGUUUUCACUCCCCAAGGCAGUUGCCCCAUCACCAAACUGCCAUCAAGUUCAUCAUAACCUGGACCUCAAGCCAUCUCCACAGCAUCUUCCCCAUAGCUAUCUAGCUCCUAAAUAAACUCACCAAGUACCUCAGUAAUCACCCAGGGUGCAAUCCACUCACCCAGAGACCAUUCCCCUCUUGUCUGACAUCUUUCCUUCACAACAUACCAGCAAUAUCCUUUCAACUUGUACUAAAAUGGUUUCUGCACUAGUUCUAAUGUUCAACUUAUUGUCUUAUGAUGUCUUGCGCUGUGUCUUCUGUUAACCUGUGUACUGUUAUUUGUAUUCCUAUUUUUUGCUCAGUGCUCUUUGACGUGUUUCUUCUGUAUGUUUUGUAAUUAUUCUGUAUUCCAUGUUUGACAGUAGAUCACAAAUUAUUCUGGCAUGUUCACACAUACUGGCAAUAUAGAAUACAUUCAAAAUCUAAAUAUGAAUAUAGAUGAAAUCUACACAUCUGGCAGAUUUCCCAUGUUUGCUGGGCAGUAAAAGUUCAUUCAAUUGUGCUGCAAAAUCUCAUGAGUAGAGUUGUUUCUUCCUGUUUGUUGAGAAAUCUGGCAAUAAAUAUAGGUUAAUUUU